AUUCCACCAAGUUCACAAAUAUCAGUAUGAACUAAUUCUAACAAAUCAGUUUUUCUUUCAACUUGAAAAUGAGGCCUUUUAGUGAUUUUGGCUUUACUACAAGCCUCACAUUUUUCAAAAUUCUUUUUAACCAUUGGGAUUAAUCCUAAACUACUCAUGAUUCCAACAUAAUGGUCAUUAAUAUGACACAAACGAGCAUGCCAAAAAUUGGU
rnacentral:lncRNA from 1 species